rnacentral:rRNA from 1 species
GGUCCAGACUCCUACGGGAGGCAGCAGUGGGGGAUAUUGCACAAUGGGCGCAAGCCUGAUGCAGCGACACCGCGUGAGCGAAGAAGUAUUUCGGUAUGUAAAGCUCUAUCAGCAGGGAAGAAAAUGACGGUACCUGACUAAGAAGCUCCGGCUAAAUACGUGCCAGCAGCCGCGGUAAUACGUAUGGAGCAAGCGUUAUCCGGAUUUACUGGGUGUAAAGGGGGCGCAGACGGCGAUGCAAGCCAGGAGUGAAAGCCCGGGGCCCAACCCCGGGACUGCUCUUGGAACUGCGUGGCUAGAGUGCAGGAGGGGCAGGCGGAAUUCCUGGUGUAGCGGUGAAAUGCGUAGAUAUCAGGAGGAACACCGGUGGCGAAGGCGGCCUGCUGGACUGCAACUGACGUUGAGGCCCGAAAGCGUGGGGAGCAAACAGGAUUAGAUACCCCCGUAA